rnacentral:sRNA from 1 species
AACUAGCCCCGAUUGGAAGCGGUAUCCCACGCCUUUUUUUGGGCGUGGAUAAAGCGGAAAGCGGGACAGAAU